rnacentral:sRNA from 1 species
CUGAACCUCUGAACUUGUAAGGCAGCUCCAAUGAAAUUUUGUCCUUUAUAAAACUCGCAUUGGUCAUGGUGUCUUUCCAUGGCAGUAAAACCCCUAACUAAGACCGAUGGGUUUCAUUAACACUUCCAAGCCUGGGCAUUUUGACCCAAGCAGAUGCAGAUUCUGUCCAGGCGUCCUACUGUGUGCCUCUGUGCCCAGCAGAAAAGGAAGAGAAAUGGGUUCUUCCACUUGAGGUGACAAAUUUCUGUUUUUGUUUCUGUUUUUCUUUUUAAUGUUUAUUAUUUUCCAGCCCCAACAUGAGCCCUGGGAAUAUAAGAUGAAUGUCAUGUCGUCCCUUCCUGAAGAGGCUGAAGGGAGCAAGGUGAACCCAAUGUGCACAGAACAAAUGCACUUUGCCCAGGUCUUCAGGCUGUCACUGCACUCUGGCGUGCACUUUCUGUUUUGAUGAGUCACUGCAGGUUUCCUUUUCCCCCUAUAUUUCUUUGAGGAGGCAGGUGCAAUUUAAUAUUUGUCCAUUUAAAAUGUUUCAUUGUUUAUAACAAAUAAAAAUCACACACAUUUACAAUGUCUCACCAAAUGUAUCGUUUUUUGUAAUAAGAACCCUUUAACAAUGUAGCCAUCUUGAAGGAGGCAAACUGCUGAGUGGGUAGAAGGCUCCGCUGUUAGGAACACGGGCUGCUCUUCCAGAGGGCAUCUCAGGAGCAUCUGGGAUUUCAGCCUAAGAGAUCUGACACCCUCUCCUGGCUCCCUCAGGCACCAGGCAUUCAUGCGGUGUACGGACGUACAGCAUAACUACAGACAUUUCUGCAGUGGAACGAAAGCAAACUCAGCCUCUUAGCUGCCUUUCUCUAGUAUCUCAUUGCAGCAACAUGAAGCAAACACUGAUGGACUUCAGCUCUCCAUUUCUGAGAUGAUGCCCGUGGAUGCUUACUGUAGCCUCCUGACCUUUGUGUUUCUGUGUGGAGCAGCAGGAGUUGUCAGGAACGGCACUUGAGGAAUUCAUUGCCUGCUUUUCCAUGGAAGAUGUCAUUCUGCUGUCAAAAUAAUCCAAGGGCUCCUGCAGUUAUCAGCACAGGAAAGCAGCUCAGAGUCCCAGAGUGGCACAGUGUUGGAGCAGAUGAGAAUUCAGGGCAGGAUUUAUCUGGAAAUAUUACCAUCGAUGCAAAAGUGGGACUGAGGUAGACACAGUGCUGGAGAAGGAGCUGAGAGUUCUACAUACGGAUCGGCAGGCAGCAGGAUGUGAACGGAGACACAUCUCUUCCAACAAUGCCACGCUCACGCUGACAAGGCCACACCUCCUAAUAGUGCCACUCCCUAUGGACCUAGGGGGGCCAUUUUUAUUCAAACCACCACAGUACAUUUCUGUGCUGAAGGAAGAGUCUUGCAGAGUGGGAUCCUCGUUGUACCGAAAUGUGCUGGAGGUGAAUCUGGAAAGGGGAGUUGGUAAGCAGGCGGAGUUGAUGGGAACGGGGAAUUGUGAGAGGAGAUGGGGUGGGGAGCAACCACAAUGUAGUUCAACAUGUAUGAAACGGUCCAAGAACGAAGGUAACCAGGUACUCAACCUGAGGGAGUCGGAAAUGAGCGACAGCUUGCAUUCUGCCUUCAGAGCAGCCCUGCGGUCCAAAGCCACCUUGAAUGUUACUAAUGAGUCUGUAUCCCAAAGAGUAGAUUUGAAAACGCAGUCUUGAUGGAUUUUUAAAGACAACCCAAGCCUCACGAGGGACAGUGGUUCUUUUUUUUUUUUUUAAGGGUUUGAUGUCUCUUGUAGCUGCAACAGAGGCAUAAAAGUGCUGACUCUGCUAGCUCAGGGCUCCCUGCCUUCUUCUUAGGGAGAAUUAGCAUAUUAGCAUAUUAUGCAAAUCACUUUGCAAAUAUGGCGCAGAUGUCAUUAAUAAAACAUGAAAGAGGAA